rnacentral:rRNA from 1 species
GGAGCGGAAUAUUUGGACAAUGGGCGGAAGCCUGAUCCAGCCAUGCCGCGUGUGUGAAGAAGGCCUUUUGGUUGUAAAGCACUUUAAGCGAGGAGGAGGCUACUAGUAUUAAUACUACUGGAUAGUGGACGUUACUCGCAGAAUAAGCACCGGCUAACUCUGUGCCAGCAGCCGCGGUAAUUAAAA